rnacentral:lncRNA from 1 species
AGAUGGUUUGAGAAGGAAGCUGAGGAGCUCAGACGUCAAGAAAAGCCACCGUGGUGGGAAUUUAGGUAAGAAGGUUUGUAAUGAAAGGAAGAAUUUAAAGAUUCUGAUUCUUGAAGAAAAUGCAAUUCUCAUCAGAUCUGAAGCUAGCCUCGCUGCGAGUUGGUUGAGGCCAAAAAGUUUCACCUCAAGUCAUUACACCUGAAGGCAUCCUUGCUCAGCAAAUUACCUGAAAGCCUGCUCAAUUUUGAGAUGGUAAAUAUGUUGAAUUCAGCUAGAGGAAAACAAAAAAAAUCACGGUGAAAAGGAGAAGUUCAAAUGAGGUGAAGCUGCAUUUACUAACGGAG